UCAAUGUCAAAAAGAUGCCACAAUAUCCUUGUGGCACUAUAAAAUAAACAAACAUCAUAAAAACGGCAAUUGGCUUAUUAAAGGUCGAAUUCGCAUACAUCACAAAUUAUCCAUAAGUUGUAAAUAUGGAGCUUCAAGAAAGUAACCUUUUCUUUCACGAUUUAUGUCGCUUGUGCCUGGUAAAUGUAGGUACAACAUUUAUAGAUGAAGAUCUACAACAAAAUGUUUUUAUUUGUACCGGUGUUGAAGUAUCAGUUGCAGAUAAUCUUCCAAGUAAAAUUUGCGUGACGUGCAACGUAAUUUUAAACAAAGCCAUCGAAUUUCGAGAAGCUGUAACCAAUAAUGAUUCUCUCUUAAAAUCUCUGUAUGACAAGACUAACAACGAAGAAAUAAUUGAAUACAGCAUAGUAAUUAAGGAAGAAAAUGAAGAUUCAAAUGAGGACACUGAAAACAAUUAUUGUGAACAAGAAACUCUUGACAAUUCAAAUACAAAUGAUAAUUACACUUAUUCAUGCAUUGUAAAUUUAACGUCAAAUUCUACACCACUGGGCACUUUAACAAUCAGAAAGGAUCUAUUUCCAAAUUCAGUACAGGAAAAACAGAAAGAAAGAAAUAACUAUAAAGAUAAAGAUACAAUGAAAAGUCCUACAAAUCAAGAUAAAUGUGAGGAAACACACAAAGAUAAGGUUAAUUAUAAAAAGAAAGUUCAAACAAAACCUGAAUGCGAGGAAAAAGAUAUUAUUGUUCAUAAAUGUCAGAAAUGUGGUAAAACUUUUGACACAUGGAGAAAAUUGUACCACCACACAAGACAGCAUAUGAAAACUAAAGAGUGUGAUGAUUGUGGCAAAAUGUUUUACUCCAAAUCAGAUUUAGAGAAGCAUAUAAGAAUACAUACAGGAGUGAGACCCUAUCAAUGUAAUCUAUGUAAGAAAAGUUUUACACAAAAAUGUACUUUGACCAGUCAUAAAUUUGCUGUACAUUGAUUGUAAGGGUCCAUACAAACUGAUUAUUACAAGUGUCAUAGUCAAACAAAAAUGUUCUGUCAAAAAAUAUGUAAAAUCUAAAACUUAGAUAAUUGCAAGAUUCAUAAAAAUACCGAAAGCAUCAUUUAAUUUGAUUUAUUCCAAGCUUAAAUAAAUUUACAGUUUUUUUACUCCUGAUUGAAGACAUGGAAAGUAAAAUUAAACCUUGUUACAAUUGUAUAAAAUUCAAUUUUAUUUGAAAUUAAGAAUCUGCUCUGUUUUUCCCUGGUCUAUGUGAAAGGACUCCAAUUUUGACCGACUUCCCAAAAGAAGGAGGUACUCAAGUCGUCUGUAUGUUUUUUUUUUAAUAUAUUGUUUUUGUUUUUUGAAAAGAUAAAUCCAUUAGUGACACAGUAGAGGUAAAUUAAGGACAUGAUUUAAAAAAAUGUGAUAGAAAAAAAAACACUGAUUAUUGAUUGUAUGUAACCUGUAAUGUAGGUAACUGUUAAAUAUAACACGACUAAUAUGAUUAUACCCUGUGAAUAUUGGAAAAUUGUAUUUAGUCGGAUUAUAGAUCUUGGACAACA